rnacentral:rRNA from 1 species
AUGGUGCAGGUGGAGGUGCUUGGCAUCACUGAUUUUUUGCAUGAACACCCUAAACCCCGUAAACCCUGCAUCCUCGGGGAGCACUCUGCAGAAGUCCACGGUGCACGAAGGGACUCGCGGCGAGCCGUGCAAGGACAGGAGCGGCCCGGCCGGCACCGUGCCGCAGUAGUCCAGCGACCUCAGCUCCGACGCGUCGAUGUCGACAGACUUCAGGUUGUGGCAGCAGCGAAGGGCGAAUCUGCGGAGGCAUUGGUCGAGCACGGAUACUCGCUUCAGGCGGUGGACAGCUUCCAGCGUCAGGUCGACGAGGCGGGGGCAGCUGGAGAUCAGCCGCUGGAUGCUCCUCCCACCAUCGCUGUGGGGAGCCGUGAUGCUCAAGGUCUCGAGGAGCGGCAGGUUGACGGCCGCCGGCAGUAUCAGCCGGCAAUAGGCGACGCAUAG